rnacentral:rRNA from 1 species
CGGAGGGUGCAAGCGUUGUUCGGAUUUAUUGGGCGUAGAGCGCGUGUAGGCGGUCUUUUAAGUCUGAUGUGAAAGCCCCGGGCUCAACCCGGGAAGUGCAUUGGAAACUGGGAGACUUGAAUACGGGAGAGGGUAGUGGAAUUCCUAGUGUAGGAGUGAAAUCCGUAGAUAUUAGGAGGAACACCGGUGGCGAAGGCGGCUACCUGGACCGAUAUUGACGCUGAGACGCGAAAGCGUGGGGAGCAAACAGGAUUAGAUACCCUGGUAGUCCACGCCGUAAACGAUGAGUACUAGGUGUUGCGGGUAUUGACCCCUGCAGUGCCGCAGCUAACGCAUUAAGUACUCCGCCUGGGAAGUACGGUCGCAAGACUA